CAUCUCCGGGGGUAGAGCACUGUUUCGGCUAGGGGGCCAUCCCGGCUUACCAACCCGAUGCAAACUGCGAAUACCGGAGAAUGUUAUCACGGGAGACACACGGCGGGUGCUAACGUCCGUCGUGAAGAGGGAAACAACCCAGACCGCCAGCUAAGGUCCCAAAGUCAUGGUUAAGUGGGAAACGAUGUGGGAAGGCCCAGACAGCCAGGAUGUUGGCUUAGAAGCAGCCAUCAUUUAAAGAAAGCGUAAUAGCUCACUGGUCGAGUCGGCCUGCGCGGAAGAUGUAACGGGGCUAAACCAUG
rnacentral:rRNA from 1 species